rnacentral:pre_miRNA from 10 species
AGAAAAGUGUUGACGAAAUAUGGCACUAGUAGAAUUCACUGUAGACAACACCCAGUGGUUUCACAGGCGCCAUAAAUUGAAAACAUUACUUUCUACAG